GGGGUUGUAGCUCAGUGGCAGAGCACUUGCCUAGCAUGUGUGAGGCACUGAGUUCAAGCCUCAGUACCACA
rnacentral:tRNA from 1 species